UGGUCCCCAGGAUGGGCGGGGCCACCCGCCGAGUUUAAGCAUAUCAAUAAGCGGAGGAGAAGAAACUUACAAGGAUUCCCCUAGUAACGGCGAGUGAACCGGGAGCGGCCCAGCAUGGGAAUCGGGCUGCCGUGCUGCGGCCCGAAUUGUAGUCUGGAGAAGCGUCCUCAGCGACGGACCGGGCCCAAGUCCCCUAGAAGGGGGCACCAGGGAGGGUGAGAGCCCCGUUCGGCUCGAACCCUGCUGCAACACGAGGCGCUGUCGGCGAGUCGGGUUGUUUGGGAAUGCAGCCCUAAUCGGGCGAUAAAUUUCGUCCAAAGCUAAAUAUGGGCGAGAGACCUAUAGCGAACAAGUACCGCAAGGGAAAGAUGAAAAAGACUUUGAAAAGAGAGUCAAAGAAUGCUUGAAAUUACCGGGAGGGAAGUGGACAGGGGCUGGCGGUGCGUCUUGGCCCAAAGCGGAACGGAUGCGUUCGGUCCGUGGCUCGACUCGAGGCGCAGACCAUUGCAGGCCAGCCCGGCGGCAAGAGCCCGGGCGAUCGUCGCUCGAGGAGACACCGUCGCGGCGGCCUCGGGAAACAGCAUGCGCCGGCUCGGUGUGCCCCCUUGGGGGCUCCAGCGCGCUCGUUGCAACGGCCCGUGGGCUCCCCGUUCGACCCGUCUUGAAACACGGACCAAGGAGCCUGACAUGUUUGCGAGCCAACGGGUGUCAAAGCCCGAUGGUCACAAGGAAGCUGAUGCGCGGGAUCCUCUAGGCAGGUGCACCGCCGACCGACCUUGAUCUUCGUGUGAAGGGUUCGAGUGAGAGCAUGCGUGUUGGGACCCGAAAGAUGGUGAAUUAUGCUUAAGCGGGGCGAAGCCAGAGAAAACUCUGGUGGAGACCCGUAGCGAUACUGAUGUGCAAAUUGUUCGUCUGACUCGGGUAUAGGAGCGACAGACUAAUCGAACCAUCUAGUAGUUGGUUCCCUCCGAUGUUUUCCUCAGGAUAGCUGGACCCCCGAACAGAGUUAUAUCGGUUAAAGCCAAUGAUUAGAGGUAUCGGGGGCACAACGCUCUCGACCUAUUCUCAAACUUUAAAUAGGUAAUACGGCUCGACUGCUUCGUUGAGCCGAGCCGAGCCGCGGAAUUGAGGGCUCCAAGUGGGCCAUUUUUUGUAAGCAGAACUGGCGAUGCGAGAUGAAUCGGAAGCUAGGUUACGGUGCCCAACUGUGCGCUAACCUAAAACCCACAAAGGGUAUUAGUUGAUUAAGACAGCAGGACGGUGGUCAUGAAAGUCAAAAUCCGCUAAGGAGUGUAUAAUAACUCACCUGCCAAAUCAACUAGCUGUGCGCGAGCCCGUGCGGAGCGGCCGUUGGUGUGGAUCUUGGUGGUAAUAGCAAAUAUUCAAAUGAGAGCUUUGAAGGCCGAAGGGGGGAAAGGUUCCAUGUGAACGGCACUUGCGCAUGGGUUAGCCGAUCCUAAGAGAUGGGGGAGGCCCGUAAGAUAGCAUCGCUUUGCGCGAGCUUCGAAAAGGAGUCGUGUUAAAAUUCCCGAGCCGGGAUGUGGCGGCUGACGGCAACGUUAGGUAGUCCAGAGACGCCGGCAGGGGCCUCGAGAAGAGUUAUAUUUUCUGCUUAACAGCAUGCCUGCCUUGAAAGCGGCUCAGCCGGAGGUAGGGCCCAGCGACUGGAAGAGCGUCGUACGUUGAGCGGCGUCCAGUGCGCCCCCGAUGGCCCUUGAAAAUUUAGAGGGCCGAGUGCCGUCCACGCCCGGUCGUACUCAUAACCGCAUCAAGUCUCCAAGGUGAACAGCCUCUGGUCGAUAAAGCAAUAUAGGCAAGGGAAGUCGGCAAAAUGGAUCCGUAACUUCGGGAAAAUGAUUGGCUCUGAGAGUUGGGCUCGGAGGUCCUAGCCCCGAAUCCUUCGGCUGUCGGGGACUGCUUGAGCUGCGUUCACGACGAGAGCGGGUUGUCGCGUGCUGGCUGGGGGACAGAUUGGGAACGGCCCCACGGGGCCUUCCCAAGGCAUCGAAUAACCGACUCAGUACUGGUACGGUCAAGGAGAAUCCGACUGUUUAAUUAAAACAAAGCAUUGCGAUGGUCCCAGCGGAUGCUCACGCAAUGUGAUUUCUACCCAGUGCUCUGAAUGUCAAAGUGAAAAAAUUCAACCAAGCGCGGGUAAACGGCGGGAGUAACUAUGACUCUAUUAAGGUAGCCAAAUGCCUCGUCAUCUAAUUAGUAACGCGCAUUAAUGGAUUAACGAGAUUCCCACUGUCCUUGUCUACUAUCCAGCAAAACCACAGCCAAGGAAACGGGCUUGGCAGAAUUAGCGGGGAAAGAAGACCUCGUUGUGCUUGAUUCUAGUCCGACUUUGUGAAAUAACUUGAGAGGUGUAGGAUAAGUGGGAGCCGGCAUGCCGGCGGAAGUGAAAUACAAUUACUUUUAACGUUAUUUUAAUUAUUCCGUUAGACGGAGGCAGGACACUGCCCCUCCUUUUGGCUUUCAAGUCCCGCUCCGGCGGGUCGAUCCGGGCGGAAGACAUUGUCAGGUGGGGAGUUUGGCUGGGGAGACACAUCUGUUAAAAGAUAACGUAGGUAUCCUAAGAUGAGCUCAACAAGAACAGAAAUCUCGUGUGAAACAAAAGGGUAAAAACUUGUUUGAUUCUGAUUUCUAGUGCGAAUACGAACCGUAAAAGCAUGGCCUAUCGAUCCUUUAGUUAUUCGGAGUUUGAAGCUAGAGGUGUCAGAAAAGUUACCACAGGGAUAACUGGCUUGUGGCAGCCAAGCAUUCAUAGCGACGUUGCUUUUUGAUCCUUCGAUGUCGGCUCUUCCUAUCAUUGAGAAGCAUAAUUCACCAAGUGUUGGAUUGUUCACCCACCAAUAGGGAACGUGAGCUGGGUUUAGACCAUCGUGAGACAGGUUACUUUUACCCUACUAAUGAUCGUGCCGCGAUAGUAAUUCAACCCAGUACGAGAGGAACCGUUGAUUCACGCAAUUGGUUAUCGCGCUUGGUUGAAAUGCCAGUGGCGUGAAGCUACCGUGUGCAGGAUUAUGACUGAACGCCUCUAAGUCUGAAUCUGCGCUAAUGAUGCGGCGCCUGAGCCCGUCGAUCGCCCUCCGACCGGCAGUAGGGGCAUCGCCCCAAGGGCACGCGAGCCGGGCUGUGCUCGCGCAGUUCUUCUCAUAAGAAUCAGCGCGGCGGCCUUGAAUUGCAGCAUCGAACGAU
rnacentral:rRNA from 1 species